AGUAGUUGAUCAGUGGCUCAGGACGACGCUGGCGGCGUGCUUAACACAUGCAAGUCGAACGGUGACCCAGGGCUUGCCCUGGUGAUCAGUGGCGAACGGGUGAGUAACACGUGGGCAACCUGCCCCUGACUUCGGGAUAACUCCUCGAAAGAGGAGCUAAUACCGGAUACGACCACUUCGGACAUCCGAUGGUGGUGGAAAGUUUUUCGGUCAGGGAUGGGCCCGCGGCCUAUCAGCUAGUUGGUGGGGUAAUGGCCUACCAAGGCGACGACGGGUAGCCGGCCUGAGAGGGCGACCGGCCACACUGGGACUGAGACACGGCCCAGACUCCUACGGGAGGCAGCAGUGGGGAAUAUUGCGCAAUGGGCGAAAGCCUGACGCAGCGACGCCGCGUGAGGGAUGAGGGCCUUCGGGUUGUAAACCUCUUUCAGCAGGGACGAAGCGAAAGUGACGGUACCUGCAGAAGAAGCACCGGCUAACUACGUG
rnacentral:rRNA from 1 species